AUGAUGACAUUGCAGCACCUCACAAAGCCCCACAGAAGCUCCCCUUCAGUCGGGUGCCCCGUGCUGGCCCCUGCUCCCCCUACCAAUCACCACAUGGACCCCGUGAUGCGAGCUGCACAGUCCAUGCAUAGCCAGAGCUGCGUGGCCGUCACCUUGCUCUGCCCAAAGUGGACAGAAAUAGAAGAAGGUGCAGGGCAUCCUCUUUGGGAGAAAUUGGACCUUUCUGGAAGACAGGCAGAAAUUGUUCAUUCUCUCUAGUCACCCUCAAAGACACAAAUGCAACUUGCCAAGACAAGAAAGACCAUUUUCCUAACUGUCUGCUGUGUCCAGAAUGUACAAGAGUCAUUUUGGGUUCCUUAUUCCUGGGAGAAAGCGCAGCAUGACUGCACAGCCAGCACUUUGCAGAGUAAUCAUGAAAUGCAUUGUCCAUGUUGUAAUUCAUGUUUUAUUGAAGAAAGUUCUAAAAUAUAAAUUAUUGGUUGAUCACGGGUAACUAAAUUAUGUUAGUUGUCCAUAAGCAAUUAUAAUAAAA
rnacentral:lncRNA from 1 species